rnacentral:tRNA from 1 species
GCCCAGGUAGCUCAGUCGGUAGAGCACGUCCUUGGUAAGGACGAGGUCGGCGGUUCGAUACCGCUCCUGGGCU